GCGACGUUAGCUCAGCUAGGUAGAGCAGCGGACAUAGCGUCCGCGGGUCGUCGGUUCGAAUCCGGCACGUCGCC
rnacentral:tRNA from 2 species